AAAAUCCAUUAUGGCGUUAUUAUUUCCGGCAACUGGGUCGUUAAAAACGGCAUUUUUCGGGAUUAAAUAACCACGAAUGCACCACCACCAUUGUUAAUAUCCAUUACAAUUUAGGUUUGAAAAACGACAAAUGUGCGCGUAUAUCUCCGUUAACUAAUUUUUUAGUAGGACGUAAUUAUUUUACCAUUUACAUACGUUACCCCCAACAAACCACGCUAGGGGGUAAGGCCAACCAGCGAUUAAAAAAUACUGGAGCGGAGAUAGUUGCAUUUUGUCGACCGCUUACAGCCCAAAUAACGCACUAUUAGUUAAAUGGUAAAUUAUUAUUCCCUAAUUAAAUAUGCUACCAUUAUGCAAAAGGCCCUCCAUAUAUAAAGGUUUGGGAAAGUGUUUUGUUACGGACUAUUAAUUAAGAUUCCUGUUUAUUAACCAUGUCCGAAACCCACGGUUACAUAUUUAAAAAUUGCUAAUAUUAUGCGGGAAGCCUGCUGUUUUCUUACUAUUAUAUCCUACAAAUAAUAGUUUCGAUGGUUAUCGCUUAUACAAUUACGAAAAAGCAUUUGAAAUACAGCAGGCCAGCCCUCCAUAUAUAUAACCAAAAGCGGGCGCGGUAAUUUGUGGUUGAAAACGGGCUGGAAUGGCCGUAUAAUGCAAUUAAAAAGCAAUAUUGCAAAAGCUAUGCGCCCAUAGGCGAACUGACGAAAUAUUAAUUAAUGCGCUGUAUUACGCCUUGUCGUUUCGCAAAAGAUGCCCGCCCAAAAAUUACUAGCUCCAGAAAAGGACGGCCUCCUAUAUAAAAGGGAGUAAUAUUCUAAUUGGCUGGCUAAUAAUACACCAAUAUAAUAAAUUAUAUAUGGGUGCUUUUGAAAAUAUAUAAUUAUCUAUUGUGGGAAAAACAAAAACAUAUAAGGGCAGUUAUAACGCCCCUUUCCAUACCUUUACCACAUUAUUGCCUGUUCGCGAACGUCGAUUUGCACCCUUUCCCGCAUGAAAAAUAUACGUCUAAUAAAAUCCCCAGGCCUAGCCAAAUUAACAGCGUAAACCAUAAUAUAAUUAAUUAGAAUUUCCCUUUAUCCGCCAUAUUUUCUUCUCUAAUAACGAAUUACGUAAUUCUUUCGCGCAAAUUUCGCGCCAUAUAUAGGACAUUCUCCCCCAAUAUUAAAAUAUUUGUUUUUAACUGUUUAUAUUUUGUAAAUGUUCCAAACGUAACGUUCCUUUUUUUUCCCAUCUUCCGUCCCUUCCCAUAAACAAUCCCCUUUAGGACAUUUUCGAUGUUGGCGCACAUGCGUCCCAUAUAACAGGCACAGGAAGGUCACAAUAGUUAUUAUAAAUGAAAAAAUUAAAGGAACUAAUUUGAAUUAAACUUAUUCCAAUUUAUUUAAAAUUGCGGCGUUAUAUCGGCAAUCCUUCCAGUUGUAACGAAGGCGAAUUCUUUGCUUUGCUGGUUGUUUUCCAAAGGUAUUUUUAAUAGGAGCAAAAUAUUAAAAAGGUUUGUGACGAAUUAGGAAAAAACAAUUGUCUAACUUUACCAGGCUGUUAACGAUAUUUUUUAAUAAAUUUAAAUUCGUUAUUUUCCGGUACCGUUUGCACCGAUUAUUUAUUAAAGGCUAUGGAAUCCUAAUAAAAUCUUUGCAAUUUACCAACGGCUCAAAUUUUUUGGGAUGGUGUGGAGGAAUUCUUUCGGUCAAAUAUUGCUGGGUUAACCCCCCAAAUAUUAUCGGUAAAUAACGGCGUUGGAAUCGGUUUUUUAAAAGAUUCGAUAUUGGGCAAAAACUGAUUUUUUCCUUUCCAAAUAUAGUUUUUAAACAGCCCUUCUUUCUGGUCUUUAUUUUCCCAGAGCGGAGGGUUUUCGGCUCCUAUGCGGAAUUCUGUCCCAAAUUUAAAAAUUAUAAUAUAAAAAGUGGUUUAAUAUAUUGAAAUAAUGUGGGGUGGGGGGAGCUCCGCAGCUAUAACCCGUCGCCUAAAUGUUAAAAUAAUAAAACAUAUACUAUUUUAAAAUUAAAACUUAAAUAAAAUUUGCCGGUUUCUUAAUAUAAUGGAAAUUUUCCCUAAUUAUAAUUGGGGAGCAAUUAACCGUCAAACUUUUGGGGCCAGGUAUAUAACGUAUGUAAAUACCUAAAAGGUAUACAAAGGUUAUAUAUAUUAUAUAUAUAUUUCUGUUUAUCCAAUAGGAUUAUUGGAUUAAUUAUUGCUAUUUUUAAAACACGCCUUGUUUUUGGUGCAUUAGUUAAUUAUAUAUGCAAAUAUUAACUGUGGAAUGCAGGUAAAUUAAAUACCCAAAACCUCCACCGUCGUCCAAUUAAAGGUGUCCGGCCUCCUGCAUAUCGACGGACAACGCUUGUUUUUCUAUUUCGAAACCUUUUUAGUUUUAUUUCCCUCAAUUUGCAUUUAUUAAAAUCCUGAAAUCGUUUCGAGGCUAUUAGAAAAGGUUUCGUGCAGUUAAACCUAUUAUUAAAAAUAUAAAAUUUAUAAAUAACAAAACAGCGAAAUUUUUAAAAAACCCAUUAAAAAUAUAAAUUAUAUCAGGAGCGUAUUGGCUUAUUGGCGCUGCCCACAAACGCUUUAUUAUUAUUAUAUACCUGCUAUAUUUAAUCGAUUAUAUACGAGGCCAGCCAAUAAUAUAUAAUUUGGAUUUGCAUCCGCAUAAUAACAAUUGGAAAUUUGAAAAACUUCGGAAAAAAUUCUUAGAUUUAUUUGCCCUAAUAUGCUCUAUUUUAAAAAUAGGUGGAAAUACAGCCUUAGCAAUUUGUUUGGAACAAGGUUAUCCGAAUGGGAACGUUUUGCGUUUCGCGCGGAAUCUUGGCGUCCCUCCCGACCUUAUCGACCAAUUUUAGCAAAUUCUCAAUAAUUUGACCGCUAUUAUUUUAAAAGGUAAAUAACCGCAAUUAUUUUAUAAUUUAUAAACUGCUAAAAUUAACAUAUUUAUAAAAAAGUUAAUAAAAGACGGGGAAUUUGAGAUUUUGUUUAAAAUUAUUAAAUUAAUUGGUAAUAAAAUUUGGUCCUUUUUGGAGCAAUUUCGUAAUCCAAAAAUACACGCUACUGUCCGACGAAAAAUCUCUGCUUUAAAAACGGACGAAACGUACCUGGAUAACGGCGAAAAAGCAAAUUUUCAGCAGUGGAUUGCUAUUUUUCCCUUUAUAAUAUUACUGAAAUUUAAUGCAACGCCUAUUUAAUUCGUUCCGCAUAUAAUAUGGGCGGCCCAAACGCGAUAGAAAUAUUUAAAACGGAUAAAAUUAUUAUUUUGUUCCGAAAAGGAAAAAAUACCCCUGUGGAUUAAAUAUAUAUACAAAUUUACGCGAUAUUAUUCAGCAACGAAAAUUAUAGUUAAAUUCGCCACCAAAUAGCCUAAUAUUUUCACAUUUAUUUACGUUAAGGCUAUGGAAGUUCCAGGACAGCAGUGUUUUUUUUUGGGUAAUAAUAUUACGGCCCUUAAUAUAACGUUUUAAAAAUUAAUUAAAAUAGACCCUGGAUUAUUCGUCGAAAAACUUGGCCAGACUUGGUUUACGGAUAAUCCAAAAACUCGUUUUCGCAAAACGUGCCGUUUUAAUUUUACAAUUUAUAUAAAAAUACAGUUUCUCACAUUUUACAAUUAUUACCCAAAUUUUACACCACGCCUUUUAUUUAUGGGUACAAAUAAAAAGGUUUAUUUCCUCUACCACAAUUUUUUAUCCCGGUAUCCAUUGGCGAUUAGUAUAUUAACCAAUUACCAAAAAUUGUAUCCAAUUUGGAUA
rnacentral:sRNA from 1 species